AUUCCGGUUGAUCCUGCCGGAGGCCAUUGCUAUCGGAGUCCGAUUUAGCCAUGCUAGUCGCACGAGUUUAGACUCGUGGCGAAAAGCUCAGUGACACGUGGCCAAACUACCCUAUGGACGGAACUAACCUCGGGAAACUGAGGCUAAUGUCCGAUACGGCUCUCACGCUGGAACGCCGAGAGCCGGAAACGCCCCGGCGCCAUAGGAUGUGGCUGCGGCCGAUUAGGUUGACGGUGGGGUAACGGCCCACCGUGCCAAUAAUCGGUAUGGGUCAUGAGAGUGAGAACCCAGAGACGGUAUCUGAGACAAGAUACCGGGCCCUACGGGGCGCAGCAGGCGCGAAACCUUUACACUGCACGACAGUGCGAUAGGGGGAUUCCGAGUGCGAGGGCAUACAGUCCUCGCUUUUCUGUACCGUAAGGUGGUACAGGAAUAAGGGCUGGGCAAGACCGGUGCCAGCCGCCGCGGUAAUACCGGCAGCCCGAGUGAUGGCCGAUCUUAUUGGGCCUAAAGCGUCCGUAGCU
rnacentral:rRNA from 1 species